AAGUUGAUCAUGGCGUCAGGAUGAACGCUGGCGGCGUGCCUAACACAUGCAAGUCGAACGAAGCACGGUGGAAUGAGAUUCGUCGAAGGAAACCGUGACUUAGUGGCGGACGGGUGAGUAAUGUAUGAGCAACCUGCCUUUCAGAGGGGGACAACAGUUGGAAACGACUGCUAAUACCGCGUAAUGUAUCGUGAGGGCAUCCUCGUGAUACCAAAGGAGCAAUCCGCUGAAAGAUGGGCUCAUAUCUGAUUAGCUUGUUGGCGGGGUAACGGCCCACCAAGGCGACGAUCAGUAGCCGGACUGAGAGGUUGAACGGCCACAUUGGGACUGAGAUACGGCCCAGACUCCUACGGGAGGCAGCAGUGGGGAAUAUUGGGCAAUGGGCGAAAGCCUGACCCAAGCAACGCCGCGUGAAGGAAGAAGGUCUUCGGAUUGUAAACUUCUUUUAUGAGGGACGAAGGACGUGACGGUACCUCAUGAAUAAGCCACGGCUAACUACGUGCCAGCAGCUGC
rnacentral:rRNA from 1 species